rnacentral:rRNA from 1 species
UACGAAGGUCCCAAGCGUUGUUCGGAAUCACUGGGCGUAAAGGGCGCGUAGGCGGCGUGGUAAGUCAGAUGUGACAUCCCGGGGCUCAACCCCGGAACUGCAUCCGAUACUGCCAUGCUUGAGUAAUGGAGGGGUAGCUGGAAUUCUCGGUGUAGCAGUGAAAUGCGUGGAUAUCGAGAGGAACACUCGUGGCGAAGGCGAGCUACUGGACAUUUACUGACGCUGAGGCGCGAAGGCUAGGGGAGCAAAAGGU